GAUUUUACUAAGAUGUGUGUUUGUUUUUAGUGGAAGACUCAUAUUCAAAUAGUAAAUUAGUUCCGAUUUUUUUAUUUCAUACCAAAAAUGUAUAAUUUUGCCUAUGCUAUAAUUAAACAGUUGACUUUUAACGCGUUAACUAUCGCUAACACUUUCUCGAUUGCCUCAACUGAGUUAAUAUUGUUAUACUCAUUGACUUGUUCCCAGCCUUGGAAAUACUGUUUUGUUUGGUAAAUAACUUAAAAAAUAAAAAACACGAUUUUUAUGUAAAUUAAGUCUAUUAUACAGUUUAUUCAUU